AUCACUCUGGAACACUUCGACUAUACAAAGCGCCGUCCCUGACUAAAACAGUACAGUCGACAGUCAGCCUCGCCGUCAUAAACAGUGGAAAUCGAAGUCACGUAAGAGUGGUCAGGCUCCAGGUAUCUCGUUGCUCGCGGGCGCGACUUCAUUACGUUCUUAGUGCUUUUUCAAAGGCGCGUAAUCGCUCACACUACGAUCACCUGCGGUGGAGUCAACCGCGUGAGGACCUUAAACUAAAUAAUUACCAACAUAACAAUAGAUAUUCUAAAGGCUCGUGGAAACGAAUAUUUUAUUUCGUUUUACUCAAAAUGCAUCGACGAGAUCGCAAACGAAUCGAUUAUUACUGCGAAAGCGUUGUACCCAAAAUUGAUAUAACAACAUUGUUCCCAAAGCUCCUAGAAAAUAAGGUUUACAACAGAGAUGAUGUAAACAUCUCAACAUGGACAAAAAGCCUUGGAGACCAAGAUACAGUCAAAGAUAUAUUUCUUACUAUAAAAACUCGAGGACCAAACGCCUGUAAAAAUUUGCUUCUUAGUUUAAGACAAUCCAAUCAUGGAAAUAUAGCUGAUAUAUUAGAAGGGAAAAGUAUUUCAAGCAACAAUAUUGUAAGUUUAAGCAACUCCAUUAACAACAUUACCAUCAGUCAACUAAAGGAACACAACAAUAAUGCGAGUUCUAGCAACGAGCGACAAGAGGAGUCUAUGGACAAUAUUGUUUGGGCCAACAAACCUCUAAAAAUCGAAGUAUCCAAAGCUACAAGGUUUCUAGAUAGUGAAUCUUGUACUAUUCUGCAGCGAUAUCCCAUGCGAAGUAAGCCUCGUGGAUUGGUUUUGGUAAUUUCGAAUAUAUAUUUCGAUUCAACGGAGAAACCUAGAUUGGCGGCAGAACACGACGAAGCUAAUUUGAAGGAGCUGUUUAAACAAAUGGGCUUUGAAGUCGUUACGCACCAAAACCUAACGGGUCAACAAAUAAAGGAGGUGGUAAGAACGUUCUCAAAGCGAAAGGACCUGGAGAAGGUUGACUCCUGCUUCGUGUUCAUUACGAGUCACGGUACGGAGGAUAAGAUGAACAAUUCAGAGAUCCAGGGAACGGAUUAUCAGAAAGACGCACCAGCGAAUUAUGAAAAGGUUUUGUGUUCGGAUAUCUACGAUUACUUCACGGUGGAAGCUUGUCCACAGCUCGCUGAAAAACCAAAGAUAUUCGUGUUUCAGAUUUGCAGAGGAGAGAAGGUGCAGAAAUCAGUAGCUCAAUCUAGAGUCAGCAUUGAUUCUUUGGCAAAUAAGGCGGAUGAAUAUGUUCGUGGCUUAACAACGAGAAAUUACUCGGAUAUGCUCAUUGUUCAGGCAACUCUGCCUGGACACGUUGCUUACCGAGACGAGAUAACUGGCAGUUGGUUCAUACAGAUUCUCUGCAAAGUAUUCAUGACCUACGCUUGCACGGAGCACAUUCAAGACUUAUUCAGCAUGAUCGACGCACACUUGAAGUACCUCAGAAUGCCAGAUAACAAGUGCCAAACAUCGACCGUAGAAUCAAGGGAAUUCAAUAAACAUUGUUAUCUGCAUCCUGGUCUUUAUGAAGAAGACUUGAUUGACUGACGAAGAAGGAAAAGCAGGAUUUCUUAUUCCAUGAGACAAUAGCAUACAGUAUUUUCGUAUUCCUAAUUAUAUCGACGCACACUUGAAGUACCUCAGAAUGUCAGAUAACAAGUGCCAAACAUCGACCGUAGAAUCAAGGGGAUUCAAUAAACAUUGUUA
rnacentral:misc_RNA from 1 species